rnacentral:rRNA from 1 species
AGUGAACGCUGGCGGUAGGCCUAACACAUGCAAGUCGAACGGCAGCACAGUAAGAGCUUGCUCUUACGGGUGGCGAGUGGCGGACGGGUGAGGAAUACAUCGGAAUCUACUUUUUCGUGGGGGAUAACGUAGGGAAACUUACGCUAAUACCGCACACGACCUACGGGUGAAAGCAGGGGAUCUUCGGACCUUUCGCGAUUGAAUGAGCCGAUGUCGGAUUAGCUAGUUGGCGGGGUAAAGGCCCACCAAGGCGACGAUCCGUAGCUGGUCUGAGAGGAUGAUCAGCCACACUGGAACUGAGACACGGUCCAGACUCCUACGGGAGGCAGCAGUGGGGAAUAUUGGACAAUGGGCGCAAGCCUGAUCCAGCCAUACCGCGUGAGUGAAGAGGGCCUUCGGGUUGUAAAGCCCUUUUGUUGGGAAAGAAAAGCAGCAGGUUAAUACCCCGCUGUUCUGACGGUACCCAAAGAAUAAGCACCGGCUAACUUCGUG